rnacentral:rRNA from 1 species
GUGGGGAAUCUUGCGCAAUGGGCGAAAGCCUGACGCAGCCAUGCCGCGUGAAUGAUGAAGGUCUUAGGAUUGUAAAAUUCUUUCACCGGGGACGAUAAUGACGGUACCCGGAGAAGAAGCCCCGGCUAACUUCGUGCCAGCAGCCGCGGUAAUACGAAGGGGGCUAGCGUUGCUCGGAAUUACUGGGCGUAAAGGGAGCGUAGGCGGAUAGUUUAGUCAGAGGUGAAAGCCCAGGGCUCAACCUUGGAAUUGCCUUUGAUACUGGCUAUCUUGAGUAUGGAAGAGGUAUGUGGAACUCCGAGUGUAGAGGUGAAAUUCGUAGAUAUUCGGAAGAACACCAGUGGCGAAGGCGACAUACUGGUCCAUUACUGACGCUGAGGCUCGAAAGCGUGGGGAGCAAACAGGAUUAGAUACCCUUGUAGUCC